UAAUUUUUUACCAAAUAAAAACAAAAAACUGAAAUAUUAUAGAUUUGCCGUAUUUUCAUAAUUAUUGAUACGAGUAUGACCAAAUGUUAUAUAAUAUUUUAGCAGUAUAGUUAUUUAAAAAUAAUAAUCAUUUUCAGUCGGUCACAUAUUAACAUAUUACACAUAAAAUAAAAUUCCACCAUCCUGAUUUUAUGUACAAGUUUUGUUUUCGAUUAAUUUUCUUCAUUCGCUCACUUAAUUGUUUCAUAGCAAAUGAGCCCCAAACAAAGAAACUUUACAUUUAAAUAUAGGUAUAUGCUCUUGGGCCAUUCUUAUUUGACAUAAUCAUUUUCGAAUAACUGUCCCCAUCUCUAAUUUGGUGGUUAAUUUAUUUAAAACGUUUUGUACCAUGGAUAAUAGGGCUUCAAUAUUUAUUAUAUUUUUAUCAUCAAGUAUAAUAAAUCUAAACGAAAUAUUGAUCUUUUAUUUGUGUUUGAUUUUAAUGGAAUUUAUGUUGAAACAUAGAUGAUAGCUGAUCUAUUGACUUAAUAAUAUAUAACCUCUAUAGGUUGAAGUAUAGCUUUUGGACUUGGAAGAAUGACUAAGUACAUAUCACUUUGAAAUAGUGUGUGGUACUCACAGAUAUAAAUAAUAAACUAGAUUGCUAACUAGUAAAAAUUCAAAAACAAUGUUUA